rnacentral:misc_RNA from 1 species
UACGAACCGUACAAACGUUAUUCGGAAUCACUGGGCUUAAAGGGUGCGUAGGCGGCGCUGCAAGUUGGGUGUGAAAUCCCUCGGCUCAACCGAGGAAUUGCGCCCAAAACUGCAGUGCUUGAGGGAGACAGAGGUGAGCGGAACUUAGGGUGGAGCGGUGAAAUGCGUUGAUAUCCUAAGGAACACCAGUGGCGUAAGCGGCUCACUGGGUCUCUUCUGACGCUGAGGCACGAAAGCUAGGGGAGCGAACGGG